rnacentral:rRNA from 1 species
AGCGAACGCUGGCGGCAGGCCUAACACAUGCAAGUCGAGCGGCCGUAGCAAUACGGCAGCGGCAGACGGGAGAGUAACACGUGGGAACGCGCCCUUCGGUUCGGGAUAACUCAGGGAAACUUGGGCUAAUACCGGAUACGCCCUUAUGGGGAAAGAUUUAUUGCCGAAGGAACGGCCCGCGUCCGACUAGCUUGUUGGUGAGGUAACGGCUCACCAAGGCGACGAUCGGUAGCUGGUCUGAGAGGAUGACCAGCCUCACUGGGACUGAGACACGGCCCAGACUCCUACGGGAGGCAGCAGUGGGGAAUAUUGGACAAUGGGCGCAAGCCUGAUCCAGCCAUGCCGCGUGGGUGAUGAAGGCCCUAGGGUUGUAAAGCCCUUUCAGCGGGGAAGAUAAUGACGGUACCCGCAGAAGAAGCCCCGGCUAACUUCGUGCCAGCAGCCGCAGUAACAC